GACGAACGCUGGCGGCGUGCUUAACACAUGCAAGUCGAACGGAAAGGCCCUGCUUUUGUGGGGUGCUCGAGUGGCGAACGGGUGAGUAACACGUGAGUAACCUGCCCUUGACUUUGGGAUAACUUCAGGAAACUGGGGCUAAUACCGGAUAGGAGCUCCUGCUGCAUGGUGGGGCUUGGAAAGUUUCGGCGGUUGGGGAUGGACUCGCGGCUUAUCAGCUUGUUGGUGGGGUAGUGGCUUACCAAGGCUUUGACGGGUAGCCGGCCUGAGAGGGUGACCGGCCACAUUGGGACUGAGAUACGGCCCAGACUCCUACGGUAGGCAGCAGUGGGGAAGAGUGCACAAUGGGCGGAAGCCUGAUGCAGCAACGCCACGUGCGGGAUGACGGGCUUCGGGUUGUAAACCGCUGUCGCCUGUGACGAAGAGUGAGUGACGGUAAUAGGUAAAGAAGCACCGGCUAACUACGUG
rnacentral:rRNA from 1 species